GGUCCUGAGCAUUUCUGCCUCGCACCCACCACCAGAUGGACAAACUCUCCAUGGAGACCAGCUUUAACAGGGAACCCUAGCCCUGUUACCAGAAAAUGGGCUGGUCCCUUUAAGACCAGAACUUUCUGGGCACAGACUGCUGGCAGGGUAUGGGGGUAAAAACUGAGCCUGGCCAGCUAGUCAGGUGACCGGAAGGGGGCAAGCCAGAACUAUAAAAACCCUGGGCUUGGUGGCAGUUGGGGUCAGCAGGCAAGGGGGAAGGAGUUUGUGCAUAAGAGUUCCACAGAAAGGCUUGGCUACCAGUCCAGCUGCUAUGGGACAGGAACUCCUGAGGACUCUCAGAGAAGUGGCGGCAGCCCCAGAAGAAGGACUGUAACAGAGGGUGGGAAGCAGAAGCACAGAGCUCUGAAAAAAUCUCCGACUUGCCCCUAGAGGGCUGGCAAGCAGGGAUGUGACUAGGAGCCAGGACACCUGGACUCUGUCCCUGCUCUUGAGUGAGUGGAGUACUGAACGUGGUGUAUCCUGGGAAGCUGGAGGACUGCAAAUUUCUCAUUUUAUUGCUAUGAAGCAGACUGAAGUUACGUUAACACAAGGUUGGAGACCACUGGCUUAGAGAGAGCAAAAGGAACAGAACUGCAAAGAGAAAAGCCACAAUACUGCUGAAGGACAGGGAGUGUAGCUGACAGCGCAAGGCUUUCUGCCUCUCUUCAAAGCUCCAGCGAUGCCUCCCCAGAUAAACAUGCUGUGACUGGCACUCUAUAUUUAGUCAGUUAUUUCUUAUGUGUGGAAGGAGGGCAUGUCAAGAGUCAAGAUAAAAUUGCAAAGGUGAGCACACAGGCUGGGAAAAGGAAUCGUUGUCCUAGCAGGCCCUUGCCACCUGGUUAUCCCAGGAAAUGCAGCAUCACCUAUUUUAGAGUUCUCUGCUCCCCUUUCAAUGUGGGUAAUGUAAGACAUGGGCAGGGAGCCAGUGGUCACUUGUAAGGGAGCUAUGUUACCAGGACCCGGAUCCAGCAGGCUGGAAUGCUUGAUUGCUAGGGAACUCCUUAUGGGUGACAAGCUGACACUUGACGCCCUUCAAUGAACCCACAGGGCAUUUUCAUAUGUGCUCAGGGGGUGGUGGUGGGGGCUUUAAUUAAAGUGGCUCCAAAAGCUGCUC